UACGGAGGGUGCAAGCGUUGUCCGGAUUUAUUGGGCGUAAAGAGCUCGUAGGCGGUUUGUCGCGUCUGCCGUGAAAGUCCGGGGCUUAACUCCGGAUCUGCGGUGGGUACGGGCAGACUUGAGUGAUGUAGGGGAGACUGGAAUUCCUGGUGUAGCGGUGAAAUGCGCAGAUAUCAGGAGGAACACCGAUGGCGAAGGCAGGUCUCUGGGCAUUAACUGACGCUGAGGAGCGAAAGCAUGGGGAGCGAACAGG
rnacentral:rRNA from 1 species